AAGGCUAAAUACUCCUGACUGACCGAUAGUGAACCAGUACCGUGAGGGAAAGGCGAAAAGAACCCCGGCGAGGGGAGUGAAAAAGAACCUGAAACCGUGUACGUACAAGCAGUGGGAGCACGCUUCGGCGUGUGACUGCGUACCUUUUGUAUAAUGGGUCAGCGACUUAUAUUCUGUAGCAAGGUUAACCGAAUAGGGGAGCCGAAGGGAAACCGAGUCUUAACUGGGCGUUAAGUUGCAGGGUAUAGACCCGAAACCCGGUGAUCUAGCCAUGGGCAGGUUGAAGGUUGGGUAACACUAACUGGAGGACCGAACCGACUAAUGUUGAAAAAUUAGCGGAUGACUUGUGGCUGGGGGUGAAAGGCCAAUCAAACCGGGAGAUAGCUGGUUCUCCCCGAAAGCUAUUUAGGUAGCGCCUCGUGAAUUCAUCUCCGGGGGUAGAGCACUGUUUCGGCAAGGGGGUCAUCCCGACUUACCAACCCGAUGCAAACUGCGAAUACCGGAGAAUGUUAUCACGGGAGACACACGGCGGGUGCUAACGUCCGUCGUGAAAAGGGAAACAACCCAGACCGCCAGCUAAGGUCCCAAAGUUGUGGUUAAGUGGUAAACGAUGUGGGAAGGCCCAGACAGCCAGGAUGUUGGCUUAGAAGCAGCCAUCAUUUAAAGAAAGCGUAAUAGCUC
rnacentral:rRNA from 1 species